UCUUUUACUAUGGAUAGCCUGCAUUGCCAUUAAUUUUGUUACUGACAAUAAUUCCAAUUUUUGUAUCUUUAUGGUUUCAUAUGUUUGAAUCAGUUUUCCCAAAUUAUUUGCUGCUGAACAAUCUCAAAACCAGGACUUCUUGUCAAGUGCCAAAUCAAGUUCAAAGGUAACUAUUGACUGUCAUUCACAUGGGCAACAAAGCUCUACAUCAACUUUGACAUUACAAAAGUCACAAAGGAAAUUAUGCCAAAAGGACAUCCUAAAGGACUGGAUAGAUAACUUUCUUACACAAUAGAAAAAUAGUUGCUGAAAUAGAAGACUUGGAUGCAUAUAAAAUGCUUAAGAAUUAUGCACCAAGUUCCAUUCUUCAUACCCUUUUCUUAUUUACUUAAUUUUCUGUUUUAUUUCAAAUUAUGAGAGAUUUAAUUUUCUAUAUUUAGGCUAUGGUUUUGUAAUCUGAGCAUCCUAAGACUCUUAUAUCAACAUGAAUUUAAGUUUUGUAAUAUAUGUGAUUCUAAUUUUGAACUCAGUUAUAAUUGUA